rnacentral:rRNA from 1 species
GACGAACGCUUGCGGCGUGCUUAACACAUGCAAGUCGAACGGUAAGGCUCCAGCUUGCUGGGGUACACGAGUGGCGAACGGGUGAGUAACACGUGGGUGACCUGCCCUGCACUUCGGGAUAAGCCUGGGAAACUGGGUCUAAUACCGGAUAGGACCGCACCGUGAGGGUGUGGUGGAAAGUUUUUUCGGUGUGGGAUGGGCCCGCGGCCUAUCAGCUUGUUGGUGGGGUAAUGGCCUACCAAGGCGGCGACGGGUAGCCGGCCUGAGAGGGUGGACGGCCACAUUGGGACUGAGACACGGCCCAGACUCCUACGGGAGGCAGCAGUGGGGAAUAUUGCACAAUGGGCGGAAGCCUGAUGCAGCGACGCCGCGUGGGGGAUGACGGCCUUCGGGUUGUAAACUCCUUUCACCAUCGACGAAGGGUUUCUGACGGUAGAUGGAGAAGAAGCACCGGCUAACUACGUGCCAGCAGCCGCGGUAAUACGUAGGGUGCGAGCGUUGUCCGGAAUUACUGGGCGUAAAGAGCUCGUAGGUGGUUUGUCGCGUCGUCUGUGAAAUUCCGGGGCUUAACUCCGGGCGUGCAGGCGAUACGGGCAUAACUUGAGUACUGUAGGGGAGACUGGAAUUCCUGGUGUAGCGGUGAGAUGCGCAGAUAUCAGGAGGAACACCGGUGGCGAAGGCGGGUCUCUGGGCAGUAACUGACGCUGAGGAGCGAAAGCAUGGGGAGCGAACAGGAUUAGAUACCCUGGUAGUCCAUGCCGUAAACGGUGGGCGCUAGGUGUGGGUUUCCUUCCACGGGAUCCGUGCCGUAGCUAACGCAUUAAGCGCCCCGCCUGGGGAGUACGGCCGCAAGGCUAAAACUCAAAGGAAUUGACGGGGGCCCGCACAAGCGGCGGAGCAUGUGGAUUAAUUCGAUGCAACGCGAAGAACCUUACCUGGGCUUGACAUAUACAGGAUCGCGCCAGAGAUGGUGUUUCCCUUGUGGCUUGUAUACAGGUGGUGCAUGGUUGUCGUCAGCUCGUGUCGUGAGAUGUUGGGUUAAGUCCCGCAACGAGCGCAACCCUUGUCUUAUGUUGCCAGCACGUUGUGGUGGGGACUCGUAAGAAACUGCCGGGGUUAACUCGGAGGAAGGUGGGGAUGACGUCAAAUCAUCAUGCCCCUUAUGUCCAGGGCUUCACACAUGCUACAAUGGUCGGUACAGUGGGUUGCCAGUCCGUGAGGGCGAGCUAAUCCCGCAAAGCCGGUCUCAGUUCGGAUCGGGGUCUGCAACUCGACCCCGUGAAGUCGGAGUCGCUAGUAAUCGCAGAUCAGCAACGCUGCGGUGAAUACGUUCCCGGGCC